ACGGAAGGCAGCAGUAGGGAAUAUUGGUCAAUGGAGGAAACUCUGAACCAGCAACACCGCGUGAAUGAUAAAGGUCUUCGGAUUGUAAAGUUCUGUGAUGGGGGACGAAAAAAAUGACGGUACCCCAAGAGCAAGCCACGGCUAACUACGUGCCAGCAGCCGCGGUAAUACGUAGGUGGCAAGCGUUGUCCGGAAUGACUGGGCGUAAAGGGUACGUAGGUGGCUUGGCAAGUUAGUGGUGAAAUCCCGGGGCUUAACUCCGGUGCUACCACUAAGACUGUUGAGCUUGAGUGCAGGAGGGGUAAGUGGAAUUCCUAGUGUAGCGGUGGAAUGCGUAGAUAUUAGGAAGAACACCAGUGGCGAAGGCGACUUACUGGACUGUAACUGACGUUGAGGCUCGAAAGCGUGGGGAGCAAACAGGAUUAGAUACCCUGGUA
rnacentral:rRNA from 1 species